rnacentral:rRNA from 1 species
AUAGUAGUUGAUCAUGGCUCAGAUUGAACGCUGGCGGCAUGCCUUACACAUGCAAGUCGAACGGCAGCACGGGUGCUUGCACCUGGUGGCGAGUGGCGAACGGGUGAGUAAUACAUCGGAACGUGUCCUGUAGUGGGGGAUAGCCCGGCGAAAGCCGGAUUAAUACCGCAUACGAUCUGUGGAUGAAAGCGGGGGAUCGC